rnacentral:misc_RNA from 1 species
GGAAGUCAUCAAUCAUGGCGGCAAAUAAGGAAGCCAUAGCAAUUGUUCUGGACGUUGGUCCAUCUAUGAAUAAUGCGCCCCCGGGCGAAGAGACUCCACUGCAGACUGCAGUUGAUGCCAUCAAGAUGAUAAUUCAAAGAAAGAUGUUUUCCGAGUCCAAGGAUGAGGUAAGUCUGGUGUUGUUUGGUACACCAGAUACAGACAACCCCCUGGCUGAUGGCGAUAGCUAUGAGAAUGUCACAAUCUCUAGGCCCCUGGGGGUGGUCGACUUUGAUUUUCUUCAACAAGUUCAGAAUGACAUCACUCCAAGCAAUACUUCAGCUGAUUUUGUGGAUGCCUUAGUGGUAGCCUUGGACCACCUGGUAAAUGCUACACAAGGCAAAAAGGGCUUUGCUAUGAAGCGCCUUAUUUUGCUGUCAGAUCUUGGAGGGGAGUUUGGAGAUGAUCAGAUAGAGGGGAUUAUAUCUGGAAUAAAAAACUCCGGAACAGAACUUAAUGUGAUUGGUCCUGAUAUCAACCUUGAUGGUGAUGAAGACGAUGAUGACAGCCAGAGGCCGGGGCCCAGCGGAGCCGCUAACGGUCACCAGAAAGCCCGGACACCCCAGCAGAAGGCCGGGGAGGGGAUGCUGAAGAGGAUACUGGAGGAGGUCGAGGGGGAGUGUUACAGCUUCAGUGAGGCCUUGCCAGCCCUGAGUCAUUUCCAGAUGAGGCAGGUCCGCCCUACUCCAUGGAAAGUCCAGCUGGAGAUCACAUCCAACAUCCGGAUCCCUGUCUGUUCCUAUAUCAAGAUCAAAGAUUUCAAAGUUAAAAGUUUUAAGAAGGUGUACGCCAAAGAUGAGGACGCAGAGAUAGACAAUUUGAGAACAUACCACAAAAACGACGAAGAGGAGACAGAAGUGGAUAAAGAGGACAUUGUGGAAGGUCAGUCACAGAUAUGGGACUACCCUGGUGCCGAUGUCUGAAGACGACAAGCUGAACAUGAAGUACAAGGCGGAGAAAUGUCUAAAGGCGCUGGGAUUUACAGACGCUCAAAACAUAAAGCGGCACCAUUUUAUGGGGGACAAUACCCACUAUGUGGUGGCUGAUAAAGAUGACGAGACUGCCGUGGUUGCCCUUUCUGCACUCAUCAAUGCCCUGUAUGAAACCAACAUGGCAGUGGUGGUGAGAAAGGUAUACAGUGCUGCCACUGCGCCCAAACUCGGCUGUCUGCUGCCACACAUCAAGUCAUCAUAUGAGUGCCUGAUCUAUGUAGAGCUGCCCUUUAGAGAGGACAUCAGACAGUACACUUUUGGAUCUCUACCGCUCAAGCAAGACACUGAAGCUAACAAAAAAUACAGACCCACAGAUGCACAGUUAGAUGCUAUUAAUGAUUUAAUUAAUGAGACUGACCUCUCUCAAGCAGUUGAGGAUGAAGAUGGUGAAAAAACAGAGGCACUCAAACCAAAGUUGAUAUUUAACCCAUAUUUCCAGAGACUCUAUCAGUGUUUACAACAUCGAGCAUUGGAACCCCACGAACCUCUUCCUGAGUUGUCUCCCAUGAUUGCCAAUUCCCUAAAUCCCCCACAAGAGGUCUCUGCUAAAUGUGAGGCACAGUGUGAAAAACUCAAGAACUUGUUUAAAUUGGAAAAAGUGAAAAAAGAGGAUAGGAAAACUGGAGAAAACAUGUUUAAACAAAAGGAGGAAGACGAGCCGUCAGCAAAGAAGAUCAAGAUGGAUGAUGACUUGGGUGGUGGGCUGGCAGACAUAACAAAGGCAGAGGUUACAGAGGUGGGCACGGUGACUCCAGUAGAUGACUUUAUUUCACUUAUCAACCAAAAAGAUGCAGACAAGUUUGAAGAAGCAUCUGGACAGAUGCAGAAUAGAGUAGAACAAUUGGUGACGGACUCCUUUGGUCCACAGUUCUAUGGCAAAGCACUGGACUGUCUGAAGGCCCUCAGACAGCAGUCCAUUAAGAAAUCCGAACCAACAUUGUACAACAAUUUUAUGAAAAAGUUCAAGGACUUUUUGAUAGAGAAAGGAAGGCGAGAUUUUUGGGAAAUGAUUGUAGAUGGUAGAGUAUUUAGUUCCUCCUGACCUAAGAGUUCUCUAAUGUACUACAUGUAUACAAUUUACUUACAUCUAUAAAAUGUAAGUUAGAUGUUAACACUUACCUUAUUUACUGAUACCGUAUAUCCAUGUUUGUUUUUUUUGGUAUGUAAAAUUUGGGAAAAUCUGUAACAUAUUUAAUUUGUCUUUUUUUCAAUUUAAAAGGUUUUUUACAGAAAAUGAUACAGGAUAUGGAUUCUGUGUAUUCAAUUAUUUGUGAUUUACCGUAAAAGAGGUCGCAAAAAAAGAGAAAAUUAGAUCAUUACCGGAUAUACAGUAUUUGUUUAAUAGAAGAAUGUUUGGCAGCCUCUUGUAUUUUUUCUAUUUCAAUGAUCAGUAUUUAAACUUCAGGUAUCUUUUUGAAAUUUGAAUUAUUACUUUUUGAUGAUGCAACAUUUCCUAGGGGCUGCUUUGUAAGAUUUCUAUAUACAUGUAUAUAUUUAUAUGAUAUUUUCUCUAUCCUUGCCGUUCAGAUAAACAAGCUCUGAUCACCAAGACGGAGAGUGAGGAUAGCUCAGUGAGUCUUGGGGAGGCCAAAGACUUCAUCGCGGAGAAAGUGGAGGCGGUAAAGGCAGAAUCACAGCCGCCUGCUGCCGGGGACGAUGCUGAAGACUUAUUGGACCAAAUUUGAAGCGUGAAGCUGGGCAGUAUAAUGGCAGCUUGUUGACUUUGAAAUCUUUGUGACGUUAGAUUGGUGACUCUUAGGGCGUGGAGCAGGGACACGGUUGACUUGUUGCAGCCUGUAACGGUCUGGUGAUUCUGCCUCCCUUACUGUUUGUUCUGUUAGAUGAGUGACUCUCGGUUCUGUUAGAGAACUGCUCUCUAGGUCGUGUGUACAUUGUAGGCGCUUGGAUAACGUCGUCACAACACAUAAAGCCUGUUAUCACAGCUUUCUUCAUAAACAGUGCAAACUUUCUGUAUGGUUGUAUAAACUUGUACAAAGAUGAAUCAAUAAAAAAAACCCUAGUCCUGAU